GAUGCCGAUCAUACCAGCACUAAAGCACCGGAUCCCAUCAGAACUUCGAAGUUAAGCGUGCUUGGGCGAGAGUAGUACUAGGAUAGGUGACCUCCUGGGAAGUCCUCGUGUUGCAUUCCC
rnacentral:rRNA from 1 species